GUCUGAGGUUUUUCCUCAUGCACACACGGAGGUUAUUUGUUUAAAAUUCCAUUUUUAUAUAUGAAUUUUGUGGAUGCUGAAUUUUGGUGCCGCCAUUUUCCAAACUGCCGUCCUGAGUCAUGUUGCCUUAUUUUGGAAAGGAUGGACUCGGGGGUGAGGGGGCUCGACUCCCCACUACCAUGAGGGUGACAAUCUCACCAUCCCAAACCAUAUCCACUAGGGCAGCACAGCAGCUUUUUGGGAGCCCAGCUCAAGGGGAAGGAAUUCUGUCUCCAGGGCCAUCCCUGGGUGCUCUUCAGUGGCUGUGAGCAGAUGUUGCCCAGGUUGCCACUGCAGAGCCUUCAGCUGCUUUCUGGCCCAGUGGAAAUGAAUUGCACUGAAAUCCUUGGGAGCAAAUCAUUGGAUGGAACAUGGGAAAACUGGUCUUUGUUAGGAUGGGGAGAACAAUAGUGUUUAUUUACAGGUAACUGCCAUGAUUGGCUGUUUGGUUCCAUAUUAGCCCUGCCAAGUGUUGGUGUUUGUGGGUGAACUGUGCUGGAGUGGGAGAUGACUCUACUGUGGGUUCUAUCCAGUGGGGAUGCUCCCUUAUCCAACAAUCAAGGGAGGAAGUCAAAGGAAAUCCCUGGAGUGGGUAUGUGCUGGCUGGAAUCUCCAGGAAGGAGGAGCACGGAAUCCACAGUUCAUUUCCAUAGGCAAUAAGAAUUCCCAUGUAAAGGUUUGGCAGGGAGAACUGCACACACACCUGGCCAUAAAUUUAAUCCCAUCAGAUGAAGUUGCUUUUUUGUUUUAAUUACGUGCCUUUUUUCUUCUCUUUCUUUCUUUCUUUUUUCUCACAUUAAAAAGUCUCCUUUGAGAAGGAUUUGUUUAACUCAGCUCAAAGCUCUCCAGAUACUUGGUAUCCUGGCACUUUUGUGAUAUUCUAGAACUCCAUUAAACUGUUUCAUUUUAUUCCUGCAAGCCCAAGUGUGCAAAGCAAAAUCCUUGGUUGGGGAUUUAUCCCCCCUUCCCCCAGUAUUGUGGGUUAACACAAAAGCCACAACUGAGCUCUGCGUCUGCCAAUUAUUGAAAGAUAAAAUAGCAAUUAGAGGGGGUGAAGAAGAAGGAUGACAAACCUUUGACAUGUUGUCGUUCUUCCUGCUGGGAGAUGAUUAUCCAAAGGGAGCUGGAGCUGUGGGAAGCCACCCAGCCAUCCUUCAAAACGGGAAUUCUGUCACUCACUGCAGGUUCCAUUCCUUUCCUCGGCUGGGAUGUUUCAUUUAUUUCAAUUAAUGGGCGCACUUGAGCUGACAAGAUAUUCACUUGUUCCUUUAUUUUUUGCAUUUUACUGUAUUUUGGUGUCUGUGACUUGUCUCAGCUCUGAUAUUUCUCGCCAUGAUGUGUCUCCUAUGACAAGGAAGGUCACACAACUGGAGAUGCAUCAUCCAUCCUUCAGGGUUCUCAGCCCUGCCUCUCUGUCCCACUGCUGCUUGUCUGCCCAUCUGGAACACCCAAUUAACACCUGGGCUAAUUAACUGUGCCGGGGGGAGCGUCUUCUCUUACCUGUUAUUGGUUUCAGCAGGGAGAAAUCACACUGAACACUAUGGGAAUUGUGCUAGGCCAUGAUGGAGAACAUAAAAAAAUGCACUUGCAGAUUUUAAAUAUUCAUAAAAUUUUUAAUAGAAGAUUUUUGUAUAGUGAAUAAAACUGAUAUUUUACUUCUUCUUCGUAGAGCACUAACAGGGCAGGCACUGUGUACCUUGGGCUCAGUGCAGGGACAGUGAUCAGCUCAUGGAGAAAUAGCUGAUUGGUAUUUUUUUAAAAGUUUGGUUGUUUGCUGGUUUUGACAGUGGAGUUUGGCCUUUUGAAACUGUCCAUUUGCAAUGUAUUGGUCUGUACAAAACUGCAGAUGAAAGGUUGAGUGCAAUUAUUCCCCAUGGAUUAUCUCAGGGCAAAACACUUGCUCAUUGAAGUCAUGGAUCCACCAACUCUUUGUAUGAUCACAAACAGGAGCAUUUCUGGUUUACAAAUCAGCUCCUAAAGCUGAAAAUAUAUGAUUUAAUUCCUAUACUACUCCCACUUUCAUGCAGGAUCAGGUUUCCCCUUGUUGAAGAAUAUUUCUUUUCAGUUUAGGUCACUUUUUUAUAGAAAAAAAAAUUCCUUGUGCUGGGAGCUGCUUUAUAAAAGGAAAAUUACCUUUCUCCUCAUGAACUUUUCCAAGCGUUUUGCAAAGAUGAAUUGGGGACUGUAUUUCAUUUUAACUAAUCACAUGUUAUUACAGUUUUGUAGAUUAAAUACACAGGCUGGCAGUGGGACUUCAGAAGUCGCAGUUUCAGGGUUCCUGAAAUCAUCCUGAAAAAAAGACAUUAAAAUUAUUUCUUGUUUCCCUCCCUGUCUUGCUUUGAAUGCAAAAUCUUGGCAGGACAAGAGGCAAUAAAUCGAUUUUAGGGAAUUCCAGUUAGGGAUUGUUGGGGUUUGGGUGUUUAACAACCUGUCCCCUCAGUGGUGCUUGGACUAAAGGAUCUUCCUACCUCAUCUUUUCCAGCUGUCCAUGAAUUAUCAUCAGGAAGAAGGUACAGAACUGCAAAUGUCCAGACUGUGAGUGGCUCACAUGUAUCAUCUGCACCCUCCUGAGCAGCCAAAAAUUAUGAAAAGCAAGAAGUGACCUGGAAGUUCAGAAGUGACCAGGUUCCAAUGGCACAGACGUGACCCCAGUGUGUGUGGCUGGAAGUGAACAGGUAAAGUAGCAAACAGUGAUUUGAAAUGUGUUGAUACUUGUAUUUUUACCCCCCCUGGGGUAUUUUAAUACAGCAGUAACUUAAGGCUGAUGUAUUUUAAUCAAUGCCUUGAAGUUAAAGUCACAAAAUGGCUUCUGUUAAACUUCCCUGUUUUCAAACCCCCAGAACUUCCACUGGCAGCACAGAUGGCCUGGAUUUGAUCUUAUACCCCAAGCAGAUUUCUUGGGGUUGGUUACUUAGUUUUAUGCAUUAUUUAAAAAAAAAUAAAAAGCCUUGGCUUCCUUUGAGUCAUGGCCGUCAUAAAAACUGCACUUUGGAUUAUACUUUAGGAGGUAAAAUUGCAAAUUUGCUCUUCUUGGCUCUCCACGGGAGCCCAGUUAAGUUUGAACCUGCAGACCUGCCCCAGAGCCACGACCUGUCUGUAUUUUCACCUAUUUAAGCUUCCCCUUAGUGAGGACCUGCCAGGAUGAGGAUUUGAAGGUCUUGCUGCAGUUCAGACUCUCUCAUAAAGCAAUUUUCUAUUUUAACAACUCUGAAAAAUAACGCAGUUUUGCACAUUCACCAUUUGGAGAGCCAAUCCAGUAUUUUUUAACAAAGGCAGGUGAUUGUUUCUCUUUUUUAAACCCAAAUGAGGUGGGAUGUGAGUAACUUCAGUGGUAAAUUAAUUGUAGAUGGUUUCUGCCUUUUUUGCAGUGGCUGAAGAGCCGAUUUCUCUUGUAGCUGAUUCUGGCAGGUUUGUUCCACUUAAUGGUAAAAAGGUCAAUUGCAUGAGAAUAAAAAGGAAGAAAAAAUCUAAAAUGGCAUCUUUGAACUAGACAGGCAGUGAAAUUAAAAUUCUAAAUGGUUGAUAGGAGGCUUGGAAUGCCCCCUGAAUAGAAGACUAAACACAGUCGCCUCCUUUAUGGAAGAAUCUUUUGUUGAAGGUUGGCUUUUCUAUCUUUUUGCUGAGUUUCCAUCAGCUAUUUUAUUGUCUAAUUACUGCCAGUGAAAGUUAUUUAUUUCUUUUGUCUAACAACCAUUUCUGCAAGUUCUGUGCCCGCCCUGACCACAGAAAAACCUCUUUCCUUCAUUUCAUUGCCUAUGUUAUGAAGCACACUCGGUGUCUAAUCCUCGUUUCCUUUACAUCUCGAUUUUAGCAAUAAAUAUUGCCUGAAAGUUUAGAUCUAAUUAUUGAAAUCACUUGGGAAUCUCCUACAUACAGACAGAUGAUCAAACCUCUAAUUUUUAUUUAUAGUCUCAGCUCUAAUUAAUGCACAUCUUUGUCUGAGCAAAAUUAUCCCCUUUCUGAUAUUUUUUUUCCAUGCUUUAUAGUUUGGGAUCAUCUCUGUGUUUCAUCAAUAUCCAGUUGGAUUUUUUCCUCCAGUUCAUUAAUAAAGAGAUUAAAUUGCACCAGCCAACAUAACAACAACAUUGCUGGAUCUGUUCUUUUCCCUUGAGGUCUAUACCCCUUGUUUCCUUUCCAGUUAAACAUUUCCAGUGUUUUCCUCCACGUCGAUCCAGGUAUUGUCUUGCCAGGUUCCUUACUUUAAAAUUUCCUGGGUAUGAAAUUUUAGUCCAAUUAAAAGCAUCUUUCUCCUUCUCCUUCUUUCCCCUUUGCCCCAUCGAGCGAAUUUUUUUCCUCAUUUGUAUUUUUUGCAAAGUAAUUUAAUUUCAUCAAAAUGUUGAGUCUCUGCCAAACCUGAGAGGGACUUUAACUGGAACACAGCGGGGUUAGAGGUGGAAGUAUCCAUGGAAACAAACUUCCCUGCAGAUGUUCAGAUAUUCCUCCAUCCCAAGCACGGGUAGAACGUGGGGCUGGUUCUGUCUUUGAAGGUUCACACCUGACCAGCACAGCCUGAGCUCUGUUUAAUGUCAGAUCCCAGCUCCAACAGGUGCUUUAGAGGAAUUGUGCUGAAAUAAUGGAUCCACUUCCCUGGUAUUGUCUUUGUAGGGAGAAGCCCACAUUUUCUCAGUGUUUCCUUCUCUCAAGUUGCAUCCUUAGCUCCGUUCUCUCCCAUUUUGCUCUGUUUUUUAAGCAGCUCUGUUAAAUCCUUGCCUUAACCUUUAUAUCAUUCCCCUCUCCUUGACCCUGAGCCGAUCCACAGCAAGGACUGCAGCCAAACCCUGCUUGCCUGGCUCAGCCAAGCAGUUCCAGUCAGGAAUAUCAUCCGUGGGAUUAGAUGGACAAACACGGGAGAAGUAACCAGAAUGCACCAGCUCAACACCCUUCUCCCAGUCCAGCCCUCAGGCCCUGGACAUUGAGCUGGUCAAACAAACGGGCUCAGUUGGAUGUUGGGAGUGAAAGACAUCCCUGGACUUGGGUGAGAUCAAAGGAAAUGUCAACCAUGAGCUGCCAGGGAGUGCUGCACCUUCCCAACCGCUGAGGAAAUGAAUGGAAUUCCCUCCAGGAUGAACCAUGUUGGGAAUCGAGAUGGGAGUGAAACAACCCACAUUUGAAAUUACUGCUGUAAAACAUUCCUGCGUGGAAUUCCAGUUUGGUCCAACGAGCAGGAAGGUGAUUCAGCUCUUUGCUUAUUGGACUUUGUCAGCUUUCCAUGGCUGAAGCGGAAUCUGAUGGAAUGACACAGCUCUAAGUCACUAACUCCUAUCCAAGGAGCUUCCUUGGCA